UGUCAAAAAGUUUUAUUGCGAUUUGCGUGCGAUUGCUGCUUGCUGCGUUGCGUAGUUUCGCAAGAAUUAAUUUAGUUUUUAAAUACCUUUAAAAAAGUUAAACAUGAACAAGGCGUGGUAUAUGGACGACGAGACAAGUGAUCAACGCUUACAACACCACAGGAACCCACCAGAGUUCAUCUCUCUCGACGAAUUGUACAAGAAAACCGGUGUGGAAAUAUUCGUCCUGAAUGUGGACACCUAUGCUACGGAUGGUGUGUUCGACAAAAUCAAGAAGGACCGAGGCUACAGUUACGAAGAUGAGCUAGUGUGCUCUAAAGAAUGCUUCGGGCAAGCAUACGAAGAGAAACUCAAGUCAUUCUACACCGAACAUAUUCACACUGAUGAAGAAAUCAGGUUCGUCCUGGAAGGCUCCGGGUACUUCGACGUGCGCGACGACAAAGACCAGUGGAUCCGCAUCCUGGUGACUCCUGGCGACCUGGUGGUGCUGCCUAAAGCCAUCUACCAUCGGUUCACUCUUGACACCAAGAACCACAUCAAAGUGAAGCGGCUGUUCAUCGGGACACCAGUAUGGCAGGCCUACAACCGGCCGGCGGACGACAUGGAGUGCCGCCGCGUGUACGUGUCUCAGCAGCGCCAGGGCUUCGCCACCGCCUUCUGACCGCACGAUGUUCGAGCAAAAUGAUCAUCUUCUUCCUAUGGUACGCCGCCAUCGCCUACGGUUACUACGCGGAAUGGAAAUCUCAUCGCGAUACAGACGAAGGGACACAAACGAAUACGUCGUCAGCUAAGGGAUCUAAAACGUCAAACGAUGUUUGUCUAGAACCUGAUACUCCUUUAGUAACCAUUGCUCCAGCGAAGGAUGAAUCUCCAGUGCCAAGUCCUAAUCCAGCGAGUCCUGAACCAGCGAGUCCCGAA